rfam:Ideonella sakaiensis DNA, contig: ISCTG002.
AUCUGACACGCGCCGACGGUGUCCAGUCUGGGCCCGACUUUCGGUCGCGGAGCGAUGAC